UACGUAGGGGGCAAGCGUUGUCCGGAUUUAUUGGGCGUAAAGAGCGUGUAGGCGGCUUUGCAAGUCCGUUGUGAAAACUCGAGGCUCAACCUCGAGACGCCGGUGGAAACUGCAAAGCUAGAGUCCGGAAGAGGAGAGUGGAAUUCCUGGUGUAGCGGUGAAAUGCGCAGAUAUCAGGAAGAACACCCGUGGCGAAGGCGGCUCUCUGGGACGGUACUGACGCUGAGACGCGAAAGCGUGGGGGAGCGAACAGG
rnacentral:rRNA from 1 species